rnacentral:tRNA from 1 species
GCUCAGGUGGUGGAAUUGGUAGACACGCACGGUUGAGGGCCGUGUGCCGGUUAACGGCAUGAGAGUUCGAGUCUCUCCCUGAGCACCA